AGCAAUAACCAGGAUGUGAUGGGGAUAAUGAUUUGAGAAAGCUAGGGAAAGUAGACAUCAAAACAAAUUGACCAAAUGUAUAACACUUGGAAUGGAUAAAAGGCUGAAGACUUUCAAGUUUCUGACAAGCAUUACACCACAGGGUCACAGCCCUGAGCGUCUACCAUCCCCUUCUCCAGCCUCCCUUAACAACGCAAAAGCAGCCCUCACCCUGCCUGCUUUAAACCCUGCACUAACUAAGCCACCAGAUACAUCCAGCAACUGAGACAGGAGCUGCUGUCUGGUGGGCAGAAAAUACUUUCACUAUUUGUCCUUGAAUUAAGCAGUGAAGAAGACAACUUUCAACAUUUAAAUUUCAGACUGUUUUCCAACCACUCAUUUCCAAAUGGACCAUUCAUUUUGCACAAAUGUUAUCCAGACCUGAAUGCCUGAGAAGGAACCCCUUCUUGAUAUAGGUGAGAACUCUGACACAUCCAGAUUUUGUAAGCUGCAUAGAAUGAAUUUCACAGGAUGCAUCCAAUUCAUGGACUCUUACAAGAUUGUAUCAAUACCUACAGCUCUGACCUCUGGGGUAAGUAGUUGUGCUGCUAUGCACAGUUGUUGAAGUUGUGCACAACCUAUCCUGUCAUAUGCACCAACCCUGAUUAAGUGACAGUUAAUUCUUUACAUUCCAAACUUGGCUCUUUCUGAUGUGAGGAAUUAUCCAUCUACUCUAAUGUUUUCAGUCAUCUUUUGGAAUGCAAGCAUCUACUCUACUGCCAUCAAUCAAUAAUAUCUUUAAUGUCGUGCACAAGUCCUUAUGCCAGACCAUUGGAGGUACUGCAAAAGGUAUGAAGUGUAGGCCUUACCAUCAAUGAAGUUAAAGAUUCUAUGGAGAAAUGAAACUGACAUGAUUGAAAAAUUUAUUAAUAUUAUAGAAAGUGAUAUGGUGUGGCUGUGUCCCCACCCAAAUCUCAUCUUGAAUUCUCACAUGUUGUGGGAAGAACCCAGUAGGAGGUAAUUGAAUCAUGGGGGCAAGUCUUUCCCAUGUUGUUCUCAUGAUAGUGAAUAAGUCUCACAAGAUCUGAUGGUUUUUUUAAAGAGGAAUUCCCAUGCACAAGCUCUCCCUUUGCCUGCUGCCAUCCAUGUAAGAUGUGAC
rnacentral:lncRNA from 1 species